AAGUGGAACAUUCCAUUUAAAGGGUGAAACAGGAACAGGUGAGCGUACAGUGCAGAAAAGAGAGAGGACUCAGAGACAGGUGAGAGGGGUGCAGCUGAGCCACUCACGCUGCCCACCUCCACCUCUGCCACCUUCCUACCCAACUGCUGGAGGGCCCCUUGCUUCCUGAGCCCAGACCCCAAAAUAGGAUAUGGCUCUGGGACACCUAAAGAGGCCAGGGCUUGUGUGGUGUUUCUCAGUGGCAGGAGCAGAGUUCAGAGACCUACCUCGUACAAGGGCCGGUGGGCGGGCAGCCUGGCCUCGCUGCCAAGACCUGUCUGUGCAGUCGUGCCCAGUGGGCAGCACAUGCGGUGAGGCAGGACCCGGCAGGAAUGGCGGAUGGGCCAGGCUGAAUGUGACUUGGCAAGGGCCUGGAGGCGGCUUUUGAGAAGCAGAUUUGGGGCAGUGCGGUACUGUGUUAGAGAUUGGGUAUACAGACACAGAUGAGACCUGUUUCUGCCCUCAAGGAUCUCACAGUCUAACUGCAAUCCUGUCGGGAAGAUAGAAUAUCAUUCCCACAAUAUAGAUGAGGAAACUGGAGCCAAAAGUACUGUCUCGACCUCCCUCCGCCUCUUCACCCCCCACACUGUCUCCAUCAGAGUGUUGAGCAAGAAGCAAUCAUCUGUGGAAGGCAGCCUGGAAAAACUGCUCCCUGGAAUGGAGUCAGUCCUCUCUGGGCUCCUACUUGUGCAACUGAAACGGCAUCAGUGGGUCUGCAUCUAUGUUAGUUGCUGAUCUGAUGCCCUCUACCAAUCAGCAGUGGCCGCCUUUAUCUCUUAGAUAAUUCUUGACUUGGGGAAGAUUGUCUUCCUCCUUCUUCUCCCUGGAUUAUCUGAACAGAUAAGGGGACUGUAAAAUCCAGGGACCCAUGGAAACCUGGGAGGCUCCACAUGGUGGUGGAUGCUCACUGAACUCUAGAUUUAUAAACUAAUGAGCAUUGCUUAGUUCUUUGUAGUGGACAGAGUGUGUUCACAUGAGCAGAGAACAGUAUGCUUGUCAAUUCCCCCUCCCUUCCACAUUUACCAGCUCAGGAUUCCUGGAAAGGUCUGAAUCACCAAAGCUUGGGAUUGUUCUCUUCACUUUUAGGCUUAAGCUAAAAGGGACAUAGAGAGGUCAUCUGUCCCAGUGAUUAUCAAAUUUUGGUCUGUGACAGAGUUUUCACCAGUCCAAAAUGAAAUGAGAAAAAAGGGGAAGCAUACUGAAUUUUUUUCGGGAAGCAUAAUGUAUUCAGUUUAAAGGGUUACUUUCGGAGGCAGGAGAUGUACUCAAAUAUUUAUUCUGAGGUUAUGGCUUGCUUAUUCUUUUCAUGAGCUGAUGAUGAGAGUGGAUGGUAGCUAGGCUUUUUAAAUGUCCUUAUUUGGCAAAAUAAAGAGUUGGCAACUUUACAGUGGUUCCUUACAUUUCGUUUUUUGAAAUUUAACUGGUCUAUGAAAUCAAAAAAUCUUGCCUCCAGGCAGGAUCUUCUUCAAACAGAUGAGACUCUAUCUCCCUGAUAAGGGCUCUUUGGGGCAGAUUUCUGAAAACCUGGAUUCUGAUCUUGUCACCACUGUUCUUUCCCUGUGGGUCCUUGGGCCAUGACAAACUCACACGGAGUCUCAGUUUCCUCAUUUUUACACUGUGGGAGGUUUCUGCCUCCAGGAUAAGGUCACUGGCAGAGGAAUGUGUUCUCACUUCCUUGUCCUCUUUGUCAGGAAGUCUGAGACUCUCCCUUCUCUGAGGGGCUCUGGGAUCAGGCCUUGCUGGUUCCUAUUCCUAUAGUCAUUUUUGGGAAAUGAUGGAGGUCAUCUCUUAUGCUUGGAAAAGACAGAGAGGACUUGUAGUUUGAAAUAUGGGAGCAGCAAGAGGUAUAUUUUACAUUUGAGGUCUUGGCGUCCAGUGUUAAUCAUUUGGAAACACAGGUAUUAAAAAGCUCUUGCCAGCAGUUUUUGAAAUGGUGGACCUUCUUGAGCUCUCAAGAAUAUCAGCUGGAGCUUUUCUAAAUCUGGAGGCUCCUGGAGGCCUUAGAGUGUCUGGGUCUUCUACCUUCUGGAGAGUCAGGCCUGGAAUAGCAACAAAUAUGUGGGAAUCCCCAGGCAGCCCCAGCUGCCAGACUGAGACAUGUGGUUGGGUGUGCACAUGUGUGCAGACUUGUAGGAGAGAAAGCGUUUAGAGGAAAGUCAGUUUGAAAUCACCCUGGAAAUUGAACUAGAUGCUCUUUUUGAGAUUUGUUCUAGGACCCUUUUUUCCUGAAAGUCUAGAAGCCUCUUAGUAGGAGAGAAUUUUCUGAUUUUCCACCCCAAUUUUAUGUUCUGAAACAAGAGCCCUCCUAGCCUGGGAAAGCAGUGGAGAUCCUACUUGGGCUGUUGAGUUUGUGGGAGUGAGUAGCAGACUCUUACCUCAAGCUUUCCUGGGACAGAGGGAGAAGUAGGACAAACUACUAAAGGCAAGAGGGGAGCCUUAGCCUCUGAGCUGGAAGACCAAGCCUAGGUGCAUUAAAUUCUCCUCUCCCAAAGGUUUCUGGAUGGUGAUGGGGCAGUAGAGCAGCACAACCCCUAAGAACAGUGCUACAGAAAAGCCUAAACCCGUGGAUGACGGCAGACACCACAGACUUAUUCAAACCAGUGGAGGGGGAAAGAAAAAGUGAAAAAGAAUCCAAGAAGUGCAGAUGAAAGAUCUCCACCACCCGAGGUGCUCCUGCACAGGAGGCCCCUCCACAGACCCUCUGAUGGCUCCACCUAGGUUUGGGACAAGUGAAUCGUGUGUCAAGGCAGUGAUUCUCUUAGCUCAUCUCUGGUCACCAGCGACAGUGGCUUUCCCCAAGGGGGCUUUCAUAAGGAUUUUGUCCUAACUUUGGGUAGAUUGGGACACAGAGUCAAGGCGUACAGUGAAAUUCUUAGAAAUUAGGAUCUCUUCUGAGAUGUUCAAGACGAAAGGGCAGAGGGUGAGAACCAUUCAGCAUACCUUUUUCUGACUGUAAAGGUCAACGAGAGCAUGACUGGGACCUCAAAGAUGUUCCCAUCCUUGUCACGGUGAGGCAAUGGAAAGCAAUAUCCGGACUCCAGGGCCACCUUUGUCUUCAAUCGGCUGCAUGAUCUUGGGCAAUUCAGUCCCUCUCUGGGCCUCAGAUUUCCCAUCUGUGAAGCGAGGGGGUUGAAUUUGAUUGCCACCAUCCUCUUCAACUCUACAUGCCUCAACUCUCCAUUUGACCGAUAGGUAGACCUUAUCACUCCAAGAGGAGAGUCUCCUGCCUUUCUCAGAGCUGCAGGUCUGCUGUCCAGCAAUUGCAUGUCUGUUGGAAAAGUGGCUUGAGGUAGCAGGAUGAGAUGGGUAUUUUCAAGACAGCAGAUCCAGGGUCAGAACUGAGAUGCCCACUUGGACGACAGUGCAUUGGGACAGGUCAAGUCCUUCACAGUCAUCA